CUCGUGUCGUGGUCGAGCGAGCCAAAGGGAGCUCAGCGCACGGAGCCGGUGAAAGUAUUCGGCAAUGGCUAGCAAAGAUCGUGCCAUCUGCCUGGUCGUCAAGAUCUGGUAAAGCCGGUGAAGUGUCUGCUGCCGCAGUGCACAACAAAGAGAUGCUAUGGAACAUCGACUAACAUGAUUUUUCUGAAGCAAGUGACGUUUAUGCCGAUCUUAAAAUGUUGCGGCUGCAUUUGGUCAUGAGAGACUUGAUGAACAACCUUAUAUUUUCUGCAAGUAUUCUGAUCAGCAAACCAACUCCUUGUUUUCUAAAUGCAUAUUCUAGAAAUGCAUGUAGACCCAUAAUUCAUAUAUUGCUACUAUAGAAUUUGCUUUCAUCCUA